GAGCCAUACAUGAAUUACGUCACACCAAUUUCAUGAUUUUUGAUCCCCUCCCCCGUCCUUGUCACAAUUGGUCACAUUUGUGAGACCUCCCCCUCCCUAGUGUGACGUCACAUUUUAUAAUUUUACAUCUAGGAUUUUUUGAGUUUUUCGAUAAUAAUAAAUUCCAAGUUCGUGUUUUAACAGUUAAAUUAUAAUAAUUGAAAUGUGACGUCACGAAAUUUAAGACCCCUCCCGCCCCCUUGUCACAUAAAGUCACACUUCGUCGAUCCCCUCCCCCCCUUAACGUGUGACGUAAUUAAUGGAUGGCCCCCUGUCUCACCCAAUGCCCCAAAUCGCAAUCCUAGAAUUUAUUGUAAAUUACUGCCAAAUUUAUGUAAAUAGACUGUAUAUAAUUUAAAAACUAAGUACAAUAAUAUUAAAUAAAUAAAUUAUCCAGUAUGCUAUCGAGUGUGCAAAUAAACAGCUCAUGUAGUGUAGAUGUCCAGUCAACAAGGAUGUAGCGAGGUUGAAUGAUCAAACAUCACAUUUUAGCACACUCUAACAUGCCUUUUAUGUUUUAAUAGUUAAUGUGAUUAUAUGAAAAACGCAAUUAUUGUAUAGAAAUAAGAAUGCAGCUAAAAUAUGUAUUGAAUUGUUACGUUGCAUUUACAAAAACAUAAAUUUACGAAGAUUUUAAAUAUGUUGUGUUUAGUGUUACUUAUAAUAAAAUUGUUUCUCAUUUAAAAUGUGUAAUUAAAUUAAAUUUUAAGUAUAUUUAUUACAUUUCUCGAAUAAAUACGAAUUUUUAUUAUAUUAUGUAUGUUUUUCUCAUGGAUCUGUUUGUUAAAUCGACUAAGUUUAAUAGUCGAUUUUAGAUUUCGUUGUGUGAUGUUAUUUGUAAAUAUUAUUACGUUGUAAUCAGUUGUACUGUUAAUUAAACGUUGUAAAACGAAGUCCGAAGCAGAAUAAAUGUACAUCGCUUUUGCGUGUAGUUAUAAUAAAACAAAUUUUAAAUGAA